GCAGAGUAGAUUGGUGACUUAUCAACAGGAAGCAUUGUAGGAUUAGUUAUUGGUGCGAUCGUUCUUCUGUUCAUUGUUGGUGCUGUCAUCUUCUUCUUAAACGGAAAACAAAAACGAAAGCAACACAAGAAUCAAUAUAUUCUACCUCCAGAAAAUUAUUCAAGCGACCAGAAACAUUUGCCAAUGAAAACAGUGGCUGAUUGAAUGAAACGAUUAUUGGGAAAGUUGUUGCACUGAUUGCUUUUGCAUAUGUUCAUUUGAACGACAAAACUAAUUUUGAAAUGGCUUCAAAACACUAAAGCAAUCGAUACUCGCCUGUAUACGUACUUGCAAUACAUUUUAUACUUUCUUUUGAUACUGUCGUGGUAAUUGAAAAAUUUUACCUCCAGUGUAUUUAAAGUUGAUUAUAAAUUUGGAGAUCAGUUGCAA